rnacentral:rRNA from 1 species
AGCGUAGAUGGUUUUUUAAGUCAGCUGUCAAAUGUAUGGGCUCAACCCUUAUUAUCAGUUGAAACUGUAAGACUUGAGUGCGGUGUGGGUACAUGGAAUUCGUGGUGUAGCGGUGAAAUGCAUAGAUAUCACGAAGAACUCCGAAAGCGUAGGCAUUGUACCAUAGCGCCACUGACAUUGAUGCUCGAAGGUGCGGGAAUCAAACA